rnacentral:tRNA from 1 species
GCCACGGUGGUCUAGCGGUUAGAACGCUGGACUUGUAAUCCUGGGGUCUCGGGUUCGAUUCCCGGCGGUGCCG